AUGGAAUGUGAAGCUUGCUUCACAUGAAAUCAGCGGCNNNNNNGUGAGUAACACGUGGAUAACCUACCCUGCAAGCCGGGAUAACACUCCGAAAGGAGUGCUAAUACCGGAUGGCACCGGGAUUCGCAUGAAUCCCGGCGAAAAGGAGCAAUUCGAUGCAGGAUGGGUCCGCGUCCCAUUAGCUAGUUGGUGAGGUAACGGCUCACCAAGGCGACGAUGGGUAGCUGGUCUGAGAGGACGAUCAGCCACAAUGGAACUGAGACACGGUCCAUACUCCUACGGGAGGCAGCAGUGAGGAAUAUUGCGCAAUGGGCGAAAGCCUGACGCAGCGACGCCGCGUGGGUGACGAAGGCCUUCGGGCCGUAAAACCCUUUUGGCAGGGACGAGUGAGGACGGUACCCGCCGAAUAAGUCUCGGCUAACUACGUGCCAGCAGCCGCGGUAAAACGUAGGAGGCGAGCGUUAUCCGGAUUCACUGGGCGUAAAGCGCGCGUAGGCGGUCGGUUAAGUCGGACGUUAAAGCCCCUGGCUCAACUGGGGGAGGUCGUUCGAUACUGGUCGGCUUGAGGAUGAGAGGGGAGAGUGGAAUUCCCGGUGUAGCGGUGGAAUGCGUAGAGAUCGGGAGGAACACCAGUGGCGAAGGCGGCUCUCUGGCUCAUUCCUGACGCUGAGUGCGCGACAGCGUGGGGAGCAAACGGGAUUAGAUACCCCGGUAGUCCACGCCGUAAACGAUGAGGGCUGGGUGUUGGCGAGAUUUCUCGUCAGUGUCGAAGCAAACGCGUUAAGCCCUCCGCCUGGGGACUACGAACGCAAGUUU
rnacentral:rRNA from 1 species